AAAAGUUAAAGAAAAUAUAUGAAGUCAAUGAUAAAUUUUAAAGUUUUACAAAGAUUAAUAAAUAGAAGUUAUUAAAUGUUGGUGGCUCAUAAUGCAGUGCAUUUAAGAAGGGCAUGCUUUCAAAGGUUAAGACUACUUUCCUGAUUCCUACAACAA